ensembl:lncRNA
CACAAGUUCCCGGCUCUCUCGACUCGGUUGAAGACGGCUUUCUAGAAGAAGGCGAGGGCAGUGAGGCACAGUCCCCCGUCCCUCGACGCCCCUCGCGAUGCCCCUCCUUCUUGGACUAACCCUCUUCAGAGGAGCCGUGAGAGCCAGGAACUUGUGAGUUUUGUAUGUCCAGUCAGGCAUCAUUCAUACCUGGUCUGUAGGAAGUUCCUGUCAGAAGGAGGUGGCACCGCGAGGGCGUCGAGGGGCGGAAGGCGGUGCCUUAGUGCCUCCCUCCUUCUGACAUUGUAAAGGGACCCUAACUUUAUUACUUUUUUAAUAGUAAGAUAGAUAUAUAUAUAUAUGUAUGUAUAUGUUUUUUGUCCUCAGAUGAGGUUUGAAGUGUCUGUGUGGUGCAGCUGGUCUGGUCUGUCUCUGUACAGUCGAGGCUGCACCCACCUAUAAAAGGUGGAGGCUCACCAGGACAUGCACACCUCACAAGUUCCCGGCUCUCUCGACUCGGUUGAAGACGGGUUUCUAGAAGAAGGCGAGGGCAGUGAGGCACAGUCCCCC